CAAUAGCGUAUAUUUAAGUUGUUGCAGUUAAAAAGCUCGUAGUUGGAUUUCUGCUGAGAACGACCGGUCCGCCCUUUGGGUGUGUAUCUGGCUCUUUCUUGGCAUCUUCUUGGUGAACGUUGCUGCACUUGACUGUGUGGAGCGCUACCCAGGACUUUUACUUUGAGGAAAUUAGAGUGUUUCAAGCAGGCAUACGCCUUGAAUACAUUAGCAUGGAAUAAUAAGAUAGGACCUCGGUUCUAUUUUGUUGGUUUCUAGAGCUGAGGUAAUGAUUAAUAGGGAUAGUUGGGGGCAUUCGUAUUUAACUGUCAGAGGUGAAAUUCUUGGAUUUGUUAAAGACGGACUACUGCGAAANCANNNGCCAAGGAUGUUUUCAUNGA
rnacentral:rRNA from 1 species